GCGCCGCGCUCCCAUUGGCGGCGGCGCCGCCCCCUCCGCCCCCAUUGGCGGCGGCGCGCGCCAGCCCCGCCCCCUGGCCCGGGGCGGGUGGGGAGCGGCGGGGCGCUGCGGUGCUCCCGCUCCCGCUCCCGCUCCCGCUCCGGGCGGAGGCGCCGGGCCGAGGGGCGCUUGGGUUCCCCGGCGACCGCGGCUGCGGUGGGACGCGGCGUUACCGCGUGUGGCUUCUGCGCUGCUCUGCCCAGACAGCCCUCGUGGAGGGAGGUGGCGACGGGCAGGCCAGGGAGCUCGGGGGCAGACGGAGGGCGCAGGCAGGCGGCACCGGUGGCCCCGCACCUCGCGGGCGUUGCCCGGAAGGACGGCGCCCCGGGCUCCUUCUCUGCGCCCUGUACACACGGGAUAAGAUGAGAACGAGGAGGUCGCUAAUAAGGACGCUCUCGGUGUGCCCCAGAUACAC